GGUUAAGCGACUAAGCGUACACGGUGGAUGCCCUGGCAGUCAGAGGCGAUGAAGGGCGUGCUAAUCUGCGAUAAGCGCCGGUAAGGUGAUAUGAACCGUUAUAACCGGCGAUACCCGAAUGGGGAAACCCAGUGUGAUUCGUCACACUAUCAUUAACUGAAUCCAUAGGUUAAUGAGGCGAACCGGGGGAACUGAAACAUCUAAGUACCCCGAGGAAAAGAAAUCAACCGAGAUUCCCCCAGUAGCGGCGAGCGAACGGGGAGGAGCCCAGAGCCUGAAUCAGCAUGUGUGUUAGUGGAAGCGUCUGGAAAGGCGCGCGAUACAGGGUGACAGCCCCGUACACAAAAGCGUAUGUGCUGUGAGCUCGAUGAGUAGGGCGGGACACGUGGUAUCCUGUCUGAAUAUGGGGGGACCAUCCUCCAAGGCUAAAUACUCCUGACUGACCGAUAGUGAACCAGUACCGUGAGGGAAAGGCGAAAAGAACCCCGGCGAGGGGAGUGAAAAAGAACCUGAAACCGUGUACGUACAAGCAGUGGGAGCACCCUUUGGGGUGUGACUGCGUACCUUUUGUAUAAUGGGUCAGCGACUUAUAUUCUGUAGCAAGGUUAACCGAAUAGGGGAGCCGGAGGGAAACCGAGUCUUAAUUGGGCGUUAAGUUGCAGGGUAUAGACCCGAAACCCGGUGAUCUAGCCAUGGGCAGGUUGAAGGUUGGGUAACACUAACUGGAGGACCGAACCGACUAAUGUUGAAAAAUUAGCGGAUGACCUGUGGCUGGGGGUGAAAGGCCAAUCAAACCGGGAGAUAGCUGGUUCUCCCC
rnacentral:rRNA from 1 species